rnacentral:rRNA from 1 species
GACGAACGCUGGCGGCGUGCUUAACACAUGCAAGUCGAGCGGUAAGGCCCUUUCGGGGUACGACGAGCGGCGAACGGGUGAGUAACACGUGGGUGACCUGCCUUUAGUCUCUGGGAGUAAGCCUGGGAAACGUAGGGUCGUAAUAACCGGAUAUGACCCUAUGGCGCAUGUUGUGGGGUGGAAAGCCUUGUGCGGCUAGGGAUGGGCCCGCGGCCUAUCAGCUUGUUGGUGGGGUGAUGGCCUACCAAGGCGACGA